rnacentral:rRNA from 1 species
GGGUUGUGAGGUUAAGCGACUAAGCGUACACGGUGGAUGCCCUGGCAGUCAGAGGCGAUGAAGGACGUGCUAAUCUGCGAUAAGCGCCGGUAAGGUGAUAUGAACCGUUAUAACCGGCGAUUUCCGAAUGGGGAAACCCAGUGUGAUUCGUCACACUAUCAUUACGUGAAUACAUAGCGUAAUGAAGCGAACCGGGGGAACUGAAACAUCUAAGUACCCCGAGGAAAAGAAAUCAACCGAGAUUCCCCCAGUAGCGGCGAGCGAACGGGGAGGAGCCCAGAGCCUGAAUCAGCAUGUGUGUUAGUGGAAGCGUCUGGAAAGGCGCGCGAUACAGGGUGACAGCCCCGUACACAAAAGCGCAUGUGCUGUGAGCUCGAUGAGUAGGGCGGGACACGUGGUAUCCUGUCUGAAUAUGGGGGGACCAUCCUCCAAGGCUAAAUACUCCUGACUGACCGAUAGUGAACCAGUACCGUGAGGGAAAGGCGAAAAGAACCCCGGCGAGGGGAGUGAAAAAGAACCUGAAACCGUGUACGUACAAGCAGUGGGAGCACAGGUUUACCUGUGUGACUGCGUACCUUUUGUAUAAUGGGUCAGCGACUUAUAUUCUGUAGCAAGGUUAACCGAAUAGGGGAGCCGGAGGGAAACCGAGUCUUAAC